CGGGAAUAGACAGAUGAUGUAACGCCUCCUUCCUCAGUUGCUGUUUUUUCUAAUUGAAUAAGCAGGCAAACUGAUGCUGAU
rnacentral:sRNA from 1 species